GAUGAACGCUGGCGGCGCGCUUAACACAUGCAAGUCGAACGGUGAAAGAGAGCUUGCUCUCUGGAUCAGUGGCGAACGGGUGAGUAACACGUGAGCAAUCUGCCCCUGACUCUGGGAUAAGCGCUGGAAACGGCGUCUAAUACCGGAUACGAGCUGCGAAGGCAUCUUCAGCAGCUGGAAAGAAUUUCGGUCAGGGAUGAGCUCGCGGCCUAUCAGCUUGUUGGUGAGGUAAUGGCUCACCAAGGCGUCGACGGGUAGCCGGCCUGAGAGGGUGACCGGCCACACUGGGACUGAGACACGGCCCAGACUCCUACGGGAGGCAGCAGUGGGGAAUAUUGCACAAUGGGCGAAAGCCUGAUGCAGCAACGCCGCGUGAGGGACGACGGCCUUCGGGUUGUAAACCUCUUUUAGCAGGGAAGAAGCGAAAGUGACGGUACCUGCAGAAAAAGCACCGGCUAACUACGUGCCAGCCGCCGCAGUAAUAC
rnacentral:rRNA from 1 species